rnacentral:tRNA from 1 species
AAAAACUUAGGAUACUUWAACCAAAAGCCUUCAAAGCUUUUAAAAAGGGUGUAAACCC